GCCUGCACAGGAGGUAGCACAUAAGAAUAGCUCCAGCUCUGCUCCCUUUCAGGGCUUCUAUCACGUGCAUGUUACGGAGUGCUUGUUUAAGCUAAUACCUCUCUUUCUAUUCUUUGGGACAGAUUUUUCAACAGGGCUUUAGAAAGGCAGCUACAGAAUAACGCUCCUCAUAAUGCACAUGCCAGCCCUUCACAAGGCAGCUUGACAGGCGCCUGGCAGGCAGCAGCGGUGGUAACCGAAGGGCUCGGGGUUGAUGCUUGCAGCCAGUCCCUGCUCAGAGGAAAAGGUGGGAAAACCCUGGCACACGGAGGCUGAGUGAUUGUGAGUGAUGCAGAAGUGAACUUUUGGCUGUGUCGGUGAUACAAAUAACGUCUCGAGUCUGAGCCCUCACCAGCAGAUCAAGGCCUCCAUAUGACUAGAAGAAUGUGCUGCAGUAUUCAGUGCACAUAUUGUUCUUCCUCAAAGGGGCAGAAGUGUGCACGUCAUUAAAAGGAAAUAUUUUAUGCUGA